rnacentral:rRNA from 1 species
UACGGGGGGGGCAAGCGUUGUUCGGAAUUACUGGGCGUAAAGGGCUCGUAGGUGGCCAACUAAGUCGGACGUGAAAUCCCUCGGCUUAACCGGGGAACUGCGUCUGAUACUGGAUGGCUUGAGUUCAGGAGAGGGAUGCGGAAUUCCAGGUGUAGCGGUGAAAUGCGUAGAUAUCUGGAGGAACACCGGUGGCGAAGGCGGCAUCCUGGACCGACACUGACGCUGAGGAGCGAAAGCCAGGGGAGCAAACGGG